rnacentral:rRNA from 1 species
UACGUAGGCAGCGAGCGUUGUUCGGAAUUACUGGGCGUAAAGAGUGUGUAGGCGGUGCUCUAAGUUCGGUGUGAAAUCUCCCGGCUUAACUGGGAGGGUGCGCCGGAAACUGGAGUGCUCGAGCGUGGGAGAGGAAAGCGGAAUUCCUGGUGUAGCGGUGAAAUGCGUAGAUAUCAGGAGGAACACCUGCGGUGGAGACGGCUUUCUGGACCAUUGCUGACGCUGAGACACGAAAGCGUGGGUAGCAAACAGG